UUCAGGGGUGUCAUAAUUUUUGUAAAGGAGUAUCAUAAUUUUUAAGAAGAGAUAUCAUAGUAUUGUUUUCGUAUAUAUUCAUUAUCUUUUUUUUUCUGUGCCGUAUUAUGACAUCCUGAGAGUCAUAAUAUAGGCAAAAGAUUAUAGGAAGAUCUGGAAGGAGGGUUUAAUAACUUUAGUUUAGUAUUUUCUGUAAGAGUAUUAUAAUUUUUGUGAAGGAAUGUUAUAAUUUUUAAGGAGUAUCAUAAUAUUGUUUCCUCAUAUAUUCAUUAUCCUUUUUCCUCCGUGCCGUAUUAUAGCAUUCUAAAAGUUAUAAUAGAGGCAAAGGAUGAUAGAAAGACUUGGAAGGAGGGGUUAAUAACUUCAGUAUAGCAUUUUCUGCAGUGAUGUCAUAAUUUUUGUGAAACGAUAUUAUAAUU
rnacentral:lncRNA from 1 species